UUUGCCGUCCCGCGGCUCCUACGCCUCUCGACAGAAGUCAGAAAACCUGUUGGCUUUCGUUGGGAUUUGGCCACUCGACUGAACAAUGACGGAGUUCACGUCGAAAAAUAAUGGCAUUUGGGCAGAGGAGAGUCGGCGCAGCAGUCGCAGUAGCACCUCCUCUUCCGGCAGCAGCGCCGUG
rnacentral:lncRNA from 1 species